rnacentral:lncRNA from 1 species
UCAACAUCACAAUCAUAGUUGACAAAAAUGUCAAUCAUAAUCUCUCGGCUGAAGAACGUUUUCAAGAACACGGAGAAUGAGCAUGGGGAAAAAUAUCCCGAUUUCUGAUUUCAAUACAGAUCUGUAUUUUAUAAGUAAGCUCUGAAAUAUUGAACAGAGAAGCUGAAAAAUUGACAUGACUGACAAUGCACUGUUCUUUAACAAGGACAGGCAAAGAAACUGUUUGAUGACAUUUAUGAACCUGUAGAGUAAGAUAAUCAGAAUUAACAAACAUGAAGUUUGUGGGUUUACCUUAAUUAUAAAAACAGAAAAUAAAUUCAAAUAUAAAAUAAGUGAGUCAACCCACAUGCUAAGGCAAGAAAAGCAGGUAAAAGGCAAAUGGAGGUUGGCAGAAAAGUUCAGUGCAAAAAAGACCCAAUAUCGACAUAUUCACGGCAUAUAACUUUUUUUAUAAUUUUAUUAAUAUAAAAUAACGCAUAUCGAGUAAAAAACUAAUAAAUAGUUUUUAAACUCUUUUUCUAAAAAUUAUUCUAUAUACACCUUAUACUAUCAUCUAAUUUUACAUACAUUAGGAAUAUAAUUCAGUAUAUGGGUAAAUUAGUAAUGUAUAACUAACAUAUUAUAUGUAGGUAUCACUCAAAGACCGAAAAUAAACUGGAUUUACAUAACAAAGUAGAUCUGUGGAAAAAAUAGCAAAUACCUCAUAUAAAAAAUCGAUAAAAAUCUAACUUUCAAACUACUCUAGAUGCAGUCUUCUAUUAUUUAGAACAUCUGCAAAAGAAUUGCUUCAGUUUGAAGCAGUAAAAAUGAUGUAAUGAACUCACACAAGUAGCGCCCCAAAAUAGUUUUGUAGAGCUUAUAGUGAAAUCCAAAAAAUAUAAAAAAGGGAGUUAUUGGGCAACUAAUUGAAAGUAAUUUUAAAACAUUAUAUAUCAUUAUUAUUACUGAUAUAAACUACUGUCGUCCUUCUAUUUAGACAAUAAUUCUACAAAUUCCACAGCUGAAGAGAACAAGAACAUGCUAAUCUAACCUAAGCAGUAUUUCAUUAUCCCAGGUUUAACGUUCUUUUUAUGUACAUCCCUCUUUAAAACUUCAAGAUUGACAACUCAUCUAAGGAUCUAUUUAUGUAUAUAUUUUUAUGACAUGGUUUGAGUAUAAUUCUUGGCCUCGUCACCUUUUCAUUUUUUCACUACAAUAUUAAGAAACGAUACAUCAAAAAGAUCUCAUUAUACAAACAAAAUGAUGUUUCUAGUUUCUACCGACACCUGAUUCCAAGAUCAUAUAUGCUAGUUAAAUGCAAGAACAUGGUUAGGAGUAUAUGGCUGUCUAUU